GAUGAACGCUGGCGGCGUGCCUAACACAUGCAAGUCGAGCGAAGCGGUUUUAAGGAAGUUUUCGGAUGGAAUUAAAACUGACUGAGCGGCGGACGGGUGAGUAACGCGUGGGUAACCUGCCUCAUACAGGGGGAUAACAGUUAGAAAUGGCUGCUAAUACCGCAUAAGCACACAGCUUCGCAUGGAGCGGUGUGAAAAACUCCGGUGGUAUGAGAUGGACCCGCGUCUGAUUAGCUAGUUGGUAAGGUAACGGCUUACCAAGGCGACGAUCAGUAGCCGACCUGAGAGGGUGACCGGCCACAUUGGGACUGAGACACGGCCCAAACUCCUACGGGAGGCAGCAGUGGGGAAUAUUGCACAAUGGGGGAAACCCUGAUGCAGCGACGCCGCGUGAGUGAAGAAGUAUCUCGGUAUGUAAAGCUCUAUCAGCAGGGAAGAAAAUGACGG
rnacentral:rRNA from 1 species